CAAUAGCGUAUAUUAAAGUUGUUGCAGUUAAAAAGCUCGUAGUUGGAUUUCUGGUAGGAGUGACCGUGCCAGACUUGAUUGUCUGUGUAUUGUGUUGUCUCCAGCCAUCCUUGUGGAGAACUUUUCUUGCAUUAAUUUGUAGGGAUUGGGACCCGCAUCGUUUACUGUGAAAAAAUUAGAGUGUUUAAAGCAGGCAAUCGCUUGAAUACAUUAGCAUGGAAUAAUAAGAUAGGACUUUGGUACUAUUUUGUUGGUUUGUAUACCAAAUUAAUGAUCAACAGGAACGGUUUGAGGAUAUUCGUAUGAACAUGUCAGAGGUGAAAUUCUUGGAUUUUGAUCAGACGAACUACUGCGAAAGCAUUUAUCAAGGAUGUUUUCAUUAA
rnacentral:rRNA from 1 species